UGGUGCUGUUGGACUCAUGAAGGCUGAUGUGGUCUCCUAACUUGGAGAGAAAAUCCCCUAACUGGGAUUUUCUGUGAUACUUGUUACUGGAGUUCAUCAGUGUGACUGAGGAAGACCAUCUGUCAUUAAUGAAGGAAGUAACUUGGGCAGUGAAUGGCCUGGUUCUUUGUAAUGAUGUCAACUGACGAAAAUGACUAAUUUCCAACUGCAUAAAGAAAAUAAGAGAAGACCUCAUAGUUUUAGUAUUUAAGAACUGCACAGGGUAGGAUGGCUUGACAUUGUUGCAUCACAGAAUCAAUUUGAAAAGUUUCAUGAAAAAUGAAUUCUUUUGGUCAGACGAUUGCCAUUGCUGUCAUCAAAAAAGUAACUUGUGGGCUAUCUGUCUUGGACUUUAUUCCAGAGAAUGACAGUUUCUCUGCUCGACAAAUGCCUGCAGAAUUCCAUGCUUACAGAAUUCGAUCACACUUUUGCGUGGACCUCUAUGGGUCCCCUAAGAAGGCAUCAGCCCCUCAGGAGCAAGGAUAUACAUCCAAGGAGUUCUAUUGGCCCUGCACCAGUGAUUAAAGUCUGCAAACUGUUGCAAACGGAUUGGGAUUACAUCAUAGAAUUAUCCGCAGUUGGUAGAAAAAUGUUUUCAGAAAAUGCUAUUAUAAAGUUGGCAUGAUGGAGAACAGUAUAUCAAAAUCUUCAUCUUUGUUUGCAGACAGGUAUAUGGAAAUUGCAAAGACCCAGGGAAUGCACUACUUGAAUAAAAAAUAACUGAGAAAUCUAACUGGAGCAGUGACAAAAACAUUAUUGCACAUGAUUAAACAAAGACUUCAGUACUGGAAAUACUUCAAGCCGUGAGACCGCAGUCUCCGCUACAUGGAUUUGGAUUUAAAAAAGCACGAGAAAUUAGAAGAACACCAGUA